GGAGGCGGUGCAGGAAGCCUCCGACCACGCGGGCUCCUGAUCGCGGGCGCCCACAGCGCGGACAUGGCGGGCUGGUGGCCGGCGUUGUCGCGCACGGCCCGGCGCCACCCGUGGCCCACCAACGUGCUGCUCUACGUUGCUCGAGCAACGUAGCUCUACGCUCUACGAGCGUGCCGUAGCUCGCUCGUCUCCGCCGGGGACGUGCUGCAGCAACGGCUGCAGGGCCGCUAGGCCGACUGGCGCCAGACGCGGCGCGUGGCCACGUUGGUGGUGACCUUCCACGCCAACUUCAACUACGUGUGGCUGGGCCUGCUGGAGCGCGCGCUCCCGGGCCGAGCGCCGCGCGCCAUGCUGGCCAAGUUGCUGUGCGACCAGGUGGUCGGUGCGCCCAUCGCGGUCUCGGCCUUCUACGCCGGUAUGAGCAUUCUCCAGGGAAAGGAUGACAUAUUUUUGGACCUGAAACAGAAAUUCUGGAACACCUAUAUGGUGGUCUAUGUUGCCCGCAACGCAAAGGAUGUGGCAGUUUCCUACUACCACUUCUACCACAUGGCCAAGGUGCACCCUGAGCCUGGGACCUGGGACAGCUUCCUGGAGAAGUUCAUGGUCGGAGAAGUGUCCUACGGAUCCUGGUACCAGCACGUGCAGGAGUGGUGGGAGCUGAGCCGCACCCACCCUGUUCUCUACCUCUUCUAUGAAGACAUGAAGGAGAACCCGAAAAGGGAGAUUCAAAAGAUCCUGGAGUUUGUGGGGCGCUCCCUGCCAGAGGAGACCGUGGACUUCGUGGUUCAGCACACGUCGUUCAAGGAGAUGAAGAA
rnacentral:lncRNA from 1 species